UUAUCGUUAAGGAAUCGCCAUCCCAACUUCGCUAAAAGGGCAGAAUUUAUAUCCCGACUUCUUCGAAUACCAAGACCACCCUUAUCCGGCGACAAGGUAAGCUGAUGCCAAUUCACCAAAUGAACACGUCUCCAUCCCCGCUGAUCACCCCAGAUAAGACUCGGAAUCCGUUUAUCAAUCUCAUCGCAGACAGACAGUGGGAGAUACACCGACUG
rnacentral:misc_RNA from 1 species